AGCGAACGCUGGCGGCAGGCUUAACACAUGCAAGUCGAGCGGGCAUCUUCGGCUGUCAGCGGCGGACGGGUGAGUAACGCGUGGGAACGUGCCUUCUGGUUCGGAAUAACUCAGGGAAACUUGAGCUAAUACCGGAUACGCCCUUUUGGGGAAAGGUUUACUGCCGGAAGAUCGGCCCGCGUCUGAUUAGCUAGUUGGUGGGGUAACGGCCUACCAAGGCUACGAUCAGUAGCUGGUCUGAGAGGAUGAUCAGCCACACUGGGACUGAGACACGGCCCAGCCCCCUACGGGAGGCAGCAGUGGGGAAUAUUGGACAAUGGGGGCAACCCUGAUCCAGCCAUGCCGCGUGAGUGAUGAAGGCCUUAGGGUUGUAAAGCUCUUUUAUCCGUGACGAUAAUGACGGUACCGGAGGAAUAAGCCCCGGCUAACUUCGUGCCAGCCGCCGCCGUAACAC
rnacentral:rRNA from 1 species